rnacentral:tRNA from 1 species
GCAUCGGUGGUCCAGAGGUAGAAUUCUCGCCUGCCACGCGGGAGGCCCGGGUUCGAUUCCCGGCCGAUGCA